rnacentral:rRNA from 1 species
AUACGGAGGAUGCGAGCGUUAUCCGGAUUUAUUGGGUUUAAAGGGUGCGUAGGCUGUGCGUUAAGUCAGGGGUGAAAUGCCGUCGCUCAACGACGGAGCUGCCCUUGAUACUGGCGUGCUGGAGUACGGAUGCCGUUGGAGGAAUGUGUGGUGUAGCGGUGAAAUGCUUAGAUAUCACUCAGAACACCGAUUGCGAAGGCAUCUGACGAAUCCGUCACUGACGCUGAGGCACGAAAGCGUGGGGAUAGAACAGGAUUAGAUACCCUGGUAUUCCACGCCGUAAACGAUGAUGACUAACCGUCGGCGAUAGACAGCCGGUGGCCAAGCGAAAGCGAUAAGUCAUCCACCUGGGGAGUACGUCGGCAACGAUGAAACUUAAAGGAAUGGACGGGG